UUAAGUAGCACUCAACAAUGAGAAGAAAAGAGGUUUUGAGUAGAAUAUUGUAAAAAACAACGCUUUAUUUCAAGAAAACACAGCGUGCUCAACACGGUCCAAUAACAACUAUCAACACACUGUAACAUUAGCAUGAGAGGUUCAGAGCAGCUUUAAGAAACAUGGGGCUGGGUUUCAGAGGUUUACAGAAUAAAAGAGGUUCAGAGCAGAAUAGUCAGAAAGAGAUGCAGGGUUAGCUUUCAUGCUGUACGCUAGAUAACUGCGGUAAGAUUCGUUUACACUUGUCUGCAGCUCUUUAGAUCCCUCACCCCGUUGUAGUCCAGUAUUUCAGUCCCAGGACUUUGGAACAACAGACAGGGGAAACUAAACAGCGCAGUUAUAAGUUAUAAAUUCAAAAGUUAAAAUGUUUCAGUUCUCAAUUCAUUAUCUGAUGAAUAGUUUACAUUCUUAGUUGUGAUGAGGUGUACCCACUUUCCUCUUCCCCCACAACCUCUUUCUCACAGCGCUUUGAGCAUCUUAUUAAUGGAAAGGUUUUUUAAUGCAAUAUAUUAUAAUAACUCCAAUGCUGCCUUUUUCUUUGUUACUUUUCUCAGGUUAAUGCAGAAUUCAUGCGGAUCACAACUAUGCCUCUACAAACCAAGUUCAUGGCACAACUUGACAGAUACUCUGCUGACCUAACCAAGCUCUUCAGCAAGAGAGGCGGGACUGCUGGAAAGAAGAUUAGACGCAUCAUGGAGAGGACGCCUCAGGUAUAUGAACUUUGCCAUUUAGUAGUUGACACUGUAAGAGCCGAGCCUGUCCAAACAUGGAACACGGAAGGCAAAGUCGGGGUUAAAAUGCCGAGAUAUGUUUGUUGCACGAAGACAGGUAGGCAUCUAAAUAAUAAGAAUAAUCAAUCACUUAAAGGUAACCAACAGAGCAUGAAUCAAAACAACUAGUUUUUUGUUUCUUUUCCAAAUUCCUUGAUUAUAUGGUUCCUUGUUGUCUAAUAAAUAUGUUGAAUCGCUCUAAUGUAUUUCCUACCUUCUAAUUUCUUCGCAAAAUGAUAUUUAACUAAUGUUUUUGUAAACGGCGAUGUUUACUUCAAAAGUAGAGUUGGAUAUCUUCUUAGUUAAGCUCAGUCCAGUGUGUUGUUACCGUCUCCAGGAAACAACAGCACUCCAGCUUAGUCCUCUUUCAGUUCUUCUGCACAAAAGACAAGUCGGCCUUAAUAUGUGAUGACAUAAACUCCAGACGAGAACGUGUCCUAAGAAGCCUCUGUGUCUACCUCAAUGAGGAUGAUGAAACUCUCAUCAAGGAAUACAUGAACCGCAACUUGGAAGAAGCGGACAGGGAGUCGGCCACCAUGGGACUUCAUGUCGUUCGGAAAGAGGGUGCUGAUGCAGGGGAAGAGCCUGAACAUGUCGGAGUGGUGAUCGAGGGUGUGGAGCUGCUAAGCAACCUGGGAAGCGUUUCUUUUGGAUUUUCCAUGCUUUUUGGACUGAUUUACUGUCUCAACAUGAGCUACCCACAAGGGCUCAAAUUCACAUUUGAGUUCCUCCAGAAGGUGCUGAUGAACUUGGAUGGCAACAAUCUUUCUCCUAAGGUUCAAGCACUUAAAAUUAAGAUGCUCCAGUAAACUCACUUAUAGGUCUGAAGGCCUCAUGUUUUGUUUUACAUUUUAUUUUAGAUCUUAAAGAGGAUUGUCUUUUUCUCUCUCCCCACUUAAGGAACCAAAACAAACUUUAAUUUGUAUUGACAUUUGCUCAUUAACAAUAUUAUUUGUGUUAGAUAGUGGUAUAUUCAGACAAAUCUUGUUCAUGGGUCAAGAUCAUUCCCUUUCACUGAUGCCUGGUGCUAAUGUUCAGUGGUCAAUAUUAUUCCCUCACUGAGGCCUGCCAUUUAUUCCAGAAGCUUCCAAAUUGUGUUCAUUUAAGUGGUAUGGCGAGGCAAAAAAAACCUGAAGAGUUGUGAUGUUAAUAAAUGUUUAAUA